rnacentral:rRNA from 1 species
CCCCUAGAUGUUCUGGGCCGCACGCGCGCUACACUGAACAGUUCAACAAGUCUUAACCUUGGCCGAUAGGUCUGGGUAAUCUUUGAACGCUGUUCGUGAUUGGGAUAGACCUUUGCAAUUAUGGGUCUUCAACGAGGAAUUCCUAGUAAACGCAAGUCAUCAGCUUGCAUUGAUUACGUCCCUGCCCUUUGUACACACCGCCCGUCGCACCUACCGAUUGAAUGGUCCGGUGAAAUCUCGGGACGGCGGCUUGGUCGCUUGCGUCCGACUGCUGAAACUUGAUUAAACCAUAUCAUUUAGAGGAAGGUUAANUCGUANCA